rnacentral:rRNA from 1 species
GAGGCGAUGAAGGGCGUACUAAUCUGCGAUAAGCGCCGGUAAGGUGAUAUGAACCGUUAUAACCGGCGAUACCCGAAUGGGGAAACCCAGUGUGAUUCGUCACACUAUCAUUAACUGAAUCCAUAGGUUAAUGAGGCGAACCGGGGGAACUGAAACAUCUAAGUACCCCGAGGAAAAGAAAUCAACCGAGAUUCCCCCAGUAGCGGCGAGCGAACGGGGAGGAGCCCAGAGCCUGAAUCAGCAUGUGUGUUAGUGGAAGCGUCUGGAAAGGCGCGCGAUACAGGGUGACAGCCCCGUACACAAAAGCGCAUGUGCUGUGAGCUCGAUGAGUAGGGCGGGACACGUGGUAUCCUGUCUGAAUAUGGGGGGACCAUCCUCCAAGGCUAAAUACUCCUGACUGACCGAUAGUGAACCAGUACCGUGAGGGAAAGGCGAAAAGAACCCCGGCGAGGGGAGUGAAAAAGAACCUGAAACCGUGUACGUACAAGCAGUGGGAGCACAGGUUUACCUGUGUGACUGCGUACCUUUUGUAUAAUGGGUCAGCGACUUAUAUUCUGUAGCAAGGUUAACCGAAUAGGGGAGCCGGAGGGAAACCGAGUCUUAAUUGGGCGUUAAGUUGCAGGGUAUAGACCCGAAACCCGGUGAUCUAGCCAUGGGCAGGUUGAAGGUUGGGUAACACUAACUGGAGGACCGAACCGACUAAUGUUGAAAAAUUAGCGGAUGACCUGUGGCUGGGGGUGAAAGGCCAAUCAAACCGGGAGAUAGCUGGUUCUCCCCGAAAGCUAUUUAGGUAGCGCCUCGUGAAUUCAUCUCCGGGGGUAGAGCACUGUUUCGGCUAGGGGGCCAUCCCGGCUUACCAACCCGAUGCAAACUGCGAAUACCGGAGAAUGUUAUCACGGGAGACACACGGCGGGUGCUAACGUCCGUCGUGAAGAGGGAAACAACCCAGACCGCCAGCUAAGGUCCCAAAGUCAUGGUUAAGUGGGAAACGAUGUGGGAAGGCCCAGACAGCCAGGAUGUUGGCUUAGAAGCAGCCAUCAUUUAAAGAAAGCGUAAUAGCUCACUGGUCGAGUCGGCCUGCGCGGAAGAUGUAACGGGGCUAAACCAUGCACCGAAGCUGCGGCAGCGACACUGUGUGUUGUUGGGUAGGGGAGCGUUCUGUAAGCCUGUGAAGGUGUGUCGUGAGGCAUGCUGGAGGUAUCAGAAGUGCGAAUGCUGACAUAAGUAACGAUAAAGCGGGUGAAAAGCCCGCUCGCCGGAAGACCAAGGGUUCCUGUCCAACGUUAAUCGGGGCAGGGUGAGUCGACCCCUAAGGCGAGGCCGAAAGGCGUAGUCGAUGGGAAACGGGUUAAUAUUCCCGUACUUGGUGUUACUGCGAAGGGGGGACGGAGAAGGCUAUGUUGGCCGGGCGACGGUUGUCCCGGUUUAAGCGUGUAGGUGUGUGUUCCAGGUAAAUCCGGUUCACUUUAACACUGAGGCGUGACGACGAGGCACUACGGUGCUGAAGCAACAAAUGCCCUGCUUCCAGGAAAAGCCUCUAAGCAUCAGGUAACAUCAAAUCGUACCCCAAACCGACACAGGUGGUCAGGUAGAGAAUACCAAGGCGCUUGAGAGAACUCGGGUGAAGGAACUAGGCAAAAUGGUGCCGUAACUUCGGGAGAAGGCACGCUGACACGUAGGUGAAGUGAUUUACUCAUGGAGCUGAAGUCAGUCGAAGAUACCAGCUGGCUGCAACUGUUUAUUAAAAACACAGCACUGUGCAAACACGAAAGUGGACGUAUACGGUGUGACGCCUGCCCGGUGCCGGAAGGUUAAUUGAUGGGGUCAGCGCAAGCGAAGCUCCUGAUCGAAGCCCCGGUAAACGGCGGCCGUAACUAUAACGGUCCUAAGGUAGCGAAAUUCCUUGUCGGGUAAGUUCCGACCUGCACGAAUGGCGUAAUGAUGGCCAGGCUGUCUCCACCCGAGACUCAGUGAAAUUGAACUCGCUGUGAAGAUGCAGUGUACCCGCGGCAAGACGGAAAGACCCCGUGAACCUUUACUAUAGCUUGACACUGAACAUUGAGCCUUGAUGUGUAGGAUAGGUGGGAGGCUUUGAAGUGUGGACGCCAGUCUGCAUGGAGCCGACCUUGAAAUACCACCCUUUAAUGUUUGAUGUUCUAACGUGGACCCGUUACCCGGGUUGCGGACAGUGUCUGGUGGGUAGUUUGACUGGGGCGGUCUCCUCCUAAAGAGUAACGGAGGAGCACGAAGGUUGGCUAAUCCUGGUCGGACAUCAGGAGGUUAGUGCAAUGGCAUAAGCCAGCUUGACUGCGAGCGUGACGGCGCGAGCAGGUGCGAAAGCAGGUCAUAGUGAUCCGGUGGUUCUGAAUGGAAGGGCCAUCGCUCAACGGAUAAAAGGUACUCCGGGGAUAACAGGCUGAUACCGCCCAAGAGUUCAUAUCGACGGCGGUGUUUGGCACCUCGAUGUCGGCUCAUCACAUCCUGGGGCUGAAGUAGGUCCCAAGGGUAUGGCUGUUCGCCAUUUAAAGUGGUACGCGAGCUGGGUUUAGAACGUCGUGAGACAGUUCGGUCCCUAUCUGCCGUGGGCGCUGGAGAACUGAGGGGGGCUGCUCCUAGUACGAGAGGACCGGAGUGGACGCAUCACUGGUGUUCGGGUUGUCAUGCCAAUGGCACUGCCCGGUAGCUAAAUGCGGAAGAGAUAAGUGCUGAAAGCAUCUAAGCACGAAACUUGCCCCGAG